GUGCUCGCUUUGGCAGCACAUGUACUAAAAUUGGAACGAUACAGAGAAGAUUAGCAUGGCCC
rnacentral:snRNA from 1 species